rnacentral:lncRNA from 1 species
UGUCACCAUGUUGUAUCCAUUUAUGGAACACAAGGCUCCUGAAGCAGCUGGGUGCCUUCCAUCCCUUCCACCCCAGAGAUCCCUCAGUGUGGCUCCCCCUCCCCAUGACCUUAUCCCUAACUUCCUCAGCACCUUGCAGGAGUCAACAUCUCUUCCCUCACUUGGAUGACUUAAAGCAGUGUCUAGGAGAGGUGAGCGCAGCUGGCCCCACUCUUCAUCAUCUUGGCAGUCAUCCCCACAGAGAACACUUCAUGGGUUUUGGCCAAAUUUAGUCCAGCCAACACAGAAGUAAUAUGAAUUAUCAUUUGUUCACCUUCUGAUAGCCACAGAUUCAUGCUGACCUCUGUGCAUGAUCAGAUGACUGCAGGGAAAUGUUUUCUCUCUGUAGUUUUUGAAGACCACCUCGUUCCUGUGAGAGGAAUGAGAACUGAAUAGAUCAUCAUGAGAAACUACUGCAGCUUACUUCAUCUCACUCUGGAUACAGUAGCACACAUCCAGGGGCAAAGAAGCAGCAAAGUAUUGAUCACACUUCAGCACCCCAUACCAUCCCAUUUGUUCUCACAUCCAGUCCAAAUGCAUGGUAUUGAUUUUCCAAGUGAAUUAUACUGGUUUGCUAGAUGCUGCCUCUUUGUAUCACCUACUGAAAGAGAUAAGGAGAAGUGUAAUUUAGGGUAAAGAGAUAGAAUGAGAAAAAUGCACUUCUGGGUGCUGUGGGAAGCACUUAUGUAAGAAAUUCAAAUUUGCUAGAGAUCUGGUCCUGAGAAGAAUACACAGAGUGAUUAUCUGCAUUUCUCCAGAGUACUCGGUCCCCUGAGCUGGAAGACAGGGAUAGGGAGCAGAAUAAACCCCACACAAUUCAGGAGGAAGCAGUUAAUGACCUCCAUUAUACCACCUGCUAUACCACCUGGACUAUUGGUCCAUGGGGCUGGAUGGGAUCCAUUCGAGGGUGCUGAUGGAGCUGGCAGGUGUGAUUGCUAAGCCACUUUCCAUUAUUUAUCAGCCUUAUCCUAGUCAACCAGAGAGGUCCCAGGCAACUGGAGACUUGCUAACAUGACACCCAUCUUUAAGAAGUGUCAGAAAGAGCAUCAAGAGAACUGCAAGCCUAUCAACCUGAGGGCCUGGAGCAUGUGCAAAGAAGGGCAAUGAAGCUGGUGAAGGGUCUGAAACACAAGUCCUAUGAGGAGUGGCUGAGGGAAUUGGGAUUGUUUAGUCUGGAGAAGAGGAAACUCAGGGAAAACCUUAUCACUAAAACUACCUGAAAGGAGAUUGUACUGAGGCAGGAGUUGGCCUCUUUUCCUUGGUAUCUAGAGUUAGGAUGAGAGGUAAUGGCCUUAAUCUGUGCCAGGGGAAGUCCUAGUAGGAUAUUAGGAAAAGAAAUUUCUCAGAAGGUGGCGAGGUAUUGGAACAGGCUGUCCAGGGAGGUGGUGGAGUUACCGUCCCCAGAGGUGUUCAAGAAGAUGGUAGAUGUGGCACUGAGGGACGUGCUUUACUGGGCAUGGUGCUGAUGAGUUGAUGGUUGGGCUAGUUGGUGUUAGUGUUUUUUUCCAACCUUAAUGAUUCAGUGAUUCUAUGACUCUUACAUUGAGAAGACAAUUACUUUAGAACAAGAGUUUCUGUACAUGCCAGAAAAAAACAAUACAUUUCCUCCUAGAAGAAUAUAAUGCAGGAUUUUUCUGAUUUUUUCUUAUUUUUUUAAUUCUUAUUCUGCUGUCAGUGAAACAUGUACUGGGUCUGGCUGGGAUGCUGUUCAGUCUCCCCACAGCAGUCCAUGCAGUGCUGUGCUCUGUAGCCACAACAACACUGGUAUCACAUCAAUGUUUAGUUAUUGCUGAGCAGUGCUGACACAGCAGUCAGGCCUCCAGCCUCCCUAGGGCCAGAAGGUUGGGAGUGGGCAAGAGGUGUGUGGGGUGACACAGCCAGAGCAGCUGGCCUACAUCCACUCAGGGGAUGUUCCAUAUGUAAUGGCAUCACGCUCAGCAAAAAAAAGCUGGGGAAGGAGAAGAAGAGAGGAAGCUCUCCUUAUGACAAUGUCUGUCCUCUUGUCCUCCUGAGUAAACGCAUAGUGAUGUCCUGCUGCCUAAGCUGUGGCCAACACCUCUUGCUGAUGGGAAGUAGAGCAUAAUUGUUUUCUCCCUUUGUUUCCGUAUAGCCUCUGCUUGUUUAUUUUUCCUUUAAUUAAACUAUCCUAAUCUCAACCAGUAUGCCUUCUUUUCCAUCACAUUUUCUCCCCUUGAUCCUUCUAGGAGGAGUACAAAAGAAGAGCUGUGCACUUUGGCUGCCCAUCGGUGUGAAAACACUGCAGGACACCACAGCAAAGGCUUCGGAGAAGCUCCAACCCAGCCUAGUCGAAUAACUUUCCUAAUGGCUCAGCAAAUUGUGCAGUCUCCUGGCUCCAAGAAGUCACAUUGCACAAGGUGAUGAAAACUCCUCUUUUCUUUUUUUUUUUUUUGAUAAAACUAAAUGAUAAAAUACCAUUCUGCCUGUUCAUUACUAACACAGAUUAAUUUAGAUUUGGCUGUUGAUCUCAGAUUGAUUUCAAACUAUGGGUAUACUUCACUGAUGCCAUUAUACAGAGGAGAAAACAAAGACAAAGAGUGUUACAAAACUUAGCAUACACAUUUCAGGAUAUGGAUCCAUGUGGUUUGAUUCUGUCUACGUGUGCCCAUAGCAGAGUAUGGGUUAAAAUUCAGGCCUUCCAUUCUCAGUGUUCUGCCUGGUGAGCUACAGAAUGGUUACAGCACGAUUUCCUUCUGCUUUAUUGUAUGACUUAAGAUAAUCCAUAAUGUUUAUCUUCAGCCUGCUGCAUCACACAGAAACAGACUGCACUUUACUUAUAUAUGUAUCACUGUAUUCUAAUCUCUUAAGGACUAUUAAAAAAAAUAAAGUGAUGAUGGCCCUAAUAAUUAUUCCAAGAACUGGACUUGAAGACUGUAUAUGAGAGAUUCUGUCUGGCUGCGUAUACUUGCAGCUCUUUUUUUUCCCACCCAGUGAUUUACCUUUCAAGUUGAUAUUUGAGUUUUAAGCAGGUUGUAGACUUGAAGUGUUGCACAGAAGAAUUGUAAGGACAUAAUAUCUAUAAUUAAGGACCACAUUUUGCUACUGAUCCUUGCAUUUUUUGCAUUAUAAAGUACUUGGGGUUGUGCAGACAGUCAGAUACUGGCACUAUUUAAACAUUCCCAACCUUAUUACUCAGCAUAAACACUGGAACAGAUACCAGAAUAAGCUUUCUUAGCCUGUUAGUUUUGACUCUAGGUUAAUAUUAAUAUAAAAUUAAGUUGUGAAGGAAAUGAGAACAUAUUCUUGACUGAAUCCUGAUUGCCAGCUUUACACAAACUGCUCUGGAUUACCAAUGAAAUUGGAACAGUAGGAACCAACAGACCAGUAGAAGUGUCUUCUUCUUACAGGCAGCUUGUGUCAUACAUCAUCAAGAGAAAUAUCUGAAGGUACACAGGUAAAUUUGGUUCCAUAUACUUUCAAAUAAAAAGGUUUUGAUACAUGUUGCCAGUUACUGAGAUCUGCCAUGAUUUCUGAACAGUACCCAAAGUACUUUGCAACCAAGCUUAAAUUGCAGUGUCUGACAUAAUCAAACAAAAUUGACUUCAGUCUUAGGAGGAGCCAUAUGUCAAUAUUGGAGACAGGUUCUUUUGGUUUAUUGGACAAGCUUUCAGUCUCAACUAGACUGGGCUACUUGAAAGAAGGAAAGAAAAUCCUGAAAGUGAUUGAUGCUACUGUAAGUUAGCCUGGGCCACCUAUCAAAACUGGGAUAUGCAGGGACUGAUCAUCCUAAAGAAGAAUAGCAAACCUUGUAGGCUUUAGCCCUGUGGCAUACAUCCCAUUUAACCUCCAGCAAUUUAGGCUGAAUCCCCUCUGCUUUUCUUGCUAAGUCUCAGGAGAUGUUCUGAGUAAAUAAAGGCUGCUACCCUCCUCAGCACCCUCCAACUCUUCCUAUCUGAG